AGAGUUUGAUCCUGGCUCAGAUUGAACGCUGGCGGCAGGCCUAACACAUGCAAGUCGAGCGGAUGAUGGGAGCUUGCUCCCGGAUUCAGCGGCGGACGGGUGAGUAAUGCCUAGGAAUCUGCCUGGUAGUGGGGGACAACGUUUCGAAAGGAACGCUAAUACCGCAUACGUCCUACGGGAGAAAGCAGGGGACCUUCGGGCCUUGCGCUAUCAGAUGAGCCUAGGUCGGAUUAGCUAGUUGGUGGGGUAAAGGCCUACCAAGGCGACGAUCCGUAACUGGUCUGAGAGGAUGAUCAGUCACACUGGAACUGAGACACGGCCCAGACUCCUACGGGAGGCAGCAGUGGGGAAUCUUGCGCAAUGGGGGGAACCCUGACGCAGCGACGCCGCGUGCGGGACGGAGGCCUUCGGGUCGUAAACCGCUUUCAGCAGGGAAGAGUCAAGACUGUACCUGCAGAAGAAGCCCCGGCUAACUACGUGCCAGCAGCCGCGGUAAUACGUAGGGGGCGAGCGUUAUCCGGAUUCAUUGGGCGUAAAGCGCGCGUAGGCGGCCCGGCAGGCCGGGGGUCGAAGCGGGGGGCUCAACCCCCCGAAGCCCCCGGAACCUCCGCGGCUUGGGUCCGGUAGGGGAGGGUGGAACACCCGGUGUAGCGGUGGAAUGCGCAGAUAUCGGGUGGAACACCGGUGGCGAAGGCGGCCCUCUGGGCCGAGACCGACGCUGAGGCGCGAAAGCUGGGGGAGCGAACAGGAUUAGAUACCCUGGUAGUCCCAGCCGUAAACGAUGGACGCUAGGUGUGGGGGGACGAUCCCCCCGUGCCGCAGCCAACGCAUUAAGCGUCCCGCCUGGGGAGUACGGCCGCAAGGCUAAAACUCAAAGGAAUUGACGGGGGCCCGCACAAGCAGCGGAGCAUGUGGCUUAAUUCGAAGCAACGCGAAGAACCUUACCAGGGCUUGACAUAUGGGUGAAGCGGGGGAGACCCCGUGGCCGAGAGGAGCCCAUACAGGUGGUGCAUGGCUGUCGUCAGCUCGUGUCGUGAGAUGUUGGGUUAAGUCCCGCAACGAGCGCAACCCCCGCCGCGUGUUGCCAUCGGGUGAUGCCGGGAACCCACGCGGGACCGCCGCCGUCAAGGCGGAGGAGGGCGGGGACGACGUCAAGUCAUCAUGCCCCUUAUGCCCUGGGCUGCACACGUGCUACAAUGGCCGGUACAGAGGGAUGCCACCCCGCGAGGGGGAGCGGAUCCCGGAAAGCCGGCCCCAGUUCGGAUUGGGGGCUGCAACCCGCCCCCAUGAAGUCGGAGUUGCUAGUAAUCGCGGAUCAGCAUGCCGCGGUGAAUGCGUUCCCGGGCCUUGCACUCACCGCCCGUCA
rnacentral:rRNA from 1 species